rnacentral:rRNA from 1 species
GUCCACGCCGUAAACGAUGGAUACUAGCUGUUGGGGGCAACUUCAGUGGCUAAGCGAAAGUGAUAAGUAUCCCACCUGGGGAGUAUGUUCGCAAGAAUGAAACUCAAAGGAAUUGACGGGGGCCCGCACAAGCGGUGGAGCAUGUGGUUUAAUUCGAUGAUACGCGAGGAACCUUACCAAGGCUUAAAUGUAGAUUGACCGGUUUUGGAAACAGAUCUUUCGCAAGACAAUUUACAAGGUGCUGCAUGGUUGUCGU